rnacentral:rRNA from 1 species
AGAGAAGCUUGCUUCUCUUGUGAGAGCGGCGGACGGGUGAGUAAUGCCUAGGAAUCUGCCUGGUAGUGGGGGAUAACGUUCGGAAACGGACGCUAAUACCGCAUACGUCCUACGGGAGAAAGCAGGGGACCUUCGGGCCUUGCGCUAUCAGAUGAGCCUAGGUCGGAUUAGCUAGUUGGUGAGGUAAUGGCUCACCAAGGCGACGAUCCGUAACUGGUCUGAGAGGAUGAUCAGUCACACUGGAACUGAGACACGGUCCAGACUCCUACGGGAGGCAGCAGUGGGGAAUAUUGGACAAUGGGCGAAAGCCUGAUCCAGCCAUGCCGCGUGUGUGAAGAAGGUCUUCGGAUUGUAAAGCACUUUAAGUUGGGAGGAAGGGUUGUAGAUUAAUACUCUGCAAUUUUGACGUUACCGACAGAAUAAGCACCGGCUAACUCUGUGCCAGCAGCCGCGGUAAUACAGAGGGUGCAAGCGUUAAUCGGAAUUACUGGGCGUAAAGCGCGCGUAGGUGGUUUGUUAAGUUGGAUGUGAAAUCCCCGGGCUCAACCUGGGAACUGCAUUCAAAACUGACUGACUAGAGUAUGGUAGAGGGUGGUGGAAUUUCCUGUGUAGCGGUGAAAUGCGUAGAUAUAGGAAGGAACACCAGUGGCGAAGGCGACCACCUGGACUAAUACUGACACUGAGGUGCGAAAGCGUGGGGAGCAAACAGGAUUAGAUACCCUGGUAGUCCACGCCGUAAACGAUGUCAACUAGCCGUUGGAAGCCUUGAGCUUUUAGUGGCGCAGCUAACGCAUUAAGUUGACCGCCUGGGGAGUACGGCCGCAAGGUUAAAACUCAAAUGAAUUGACGGGGGCCCGCACAAGC